UUCCCCUAGUAACUGCGAGUGAAGCGGGAAAAGCUCAAAUUUCGAAUCUGGCGGUCCCGAAAGGCCGUCCGAGUUGUAAUCUAGAGAAGCGCGUUCGGUGCUGGCCCGUGUACAAGUCUCCUGGAAGGGAGCGUCAUAGAGGGUGAGAAUCCCGUCUCUGACACGGACCACCAGGGCCAUGUGACGCGCUCUCGACGAGUCGAGUUGUUUGGGAAUGCAGCUCAAAACGGGUGGUAAACUCCAUCUAAAGCUAAAUACUGGCGAGAGACCGAUAGCGAACAAGUACCGUGAGGGAAAGAUGAAAAGAACUUUGGAAAGAGAGUUAAAGAGUACGUGAAAUUGCUGAAAGGGAAACGCUUCACGUCAGUCGCGUCGGGCAGGGAUCAACCUUUGCGAGCGAUCGCCGGGGUGCACUUCCUGCUCGACGGGUCAGCGUCAGUUUCGGUCGUCGUACAAGGGCGGAGGGGAACGUGGCACUCCUCGGAGUGUGUUAUAGCCUCUCGUCGGAUGCGUCGGCAGGGACUGAGGAACUCGGCACGGCUCCGUCCGUGUCUAGGACGCUGGCAUAAUGGCGUCAAGCGACCCGUCUUGAAACACGGACCAAGGAGUCCAACAUGCCUGCGAGUGUUCGGGCGGAAAACCCGAGCGCGCAACGAAAGUGAAAGUCGACACCUCCCUCAU
rnacentral:rRNA from 1 species